GUUUUGACGGUAGAAAAGGUCAUCAUGUCCUUUGUGCUAAGAACUCAUUAACUGACUGUUUUGAAUUGAAAAUGGCCAUCACUAAUUCUAUUUUUUCUAUUAAAUUACAAACAAAAAGUGAUGAGUCACUCCCUAAUCUCAUCAGGGGCGGUAGUAUCGUUAGGUUUCAUAAUGCUAAGACUGAUUCUUAUUUGUGUGCUAAAGGGUCUACUGUACACACCAUCCUAUUAGAUGUUGGUUUUUGACAUGACAACGAAC